rnacentral:rRNA from 1 species
GACGAACGCUGGCGGCGUGCUUAACACAUGCCAGUCGAACGGGCCCGCCCCUGUUUUUGGGGGUGGGUUGAGUGGCGAACGGGUGAGUAUCACGUGAGUAACCUGCCCCCUGCUCCUGGAUAACUGCUUGAAAGGGCGGCUAAUACGGGGUGUGCCGGCUGGUCCGCAUGGGCCUGGUCGGGAUAGUUUCAUCUUCGGGUGUUUCGGUGGGGGAUGGGCUCGCGGCCUAUCAGCUUGUUGGUGGGGUGAUGGCCCACCAAGGCGGUGACGGGUAGCCGGCCUGAGAGGGUGGGCGGCCACACGGGGACUGAGCCACGGCCCAGACUCCGGCGGGAGGCAGCAGUGGGGGGUAUUGCACAAUGGGCGGAAGCCUGAUGCAGCGACGUCGCGUGAGGGAUGGAGGCCUUCGGGUUGUGAACCUCUUUCUCCGGUGGUGAAGGCCCUGUCCGGUGCGGCGGGGUUGACGGUAGCCGGGUAUGAAGCGCCGGCUAACUACGUG